GAAACUGGUGCUAAUACCGGAUACCCUUCUUUACUGCCGGGUAAAGGAGGAAAGGUGGCCUCUUCAUGAAAGCUACCGUAUAGGGAUGAGCCUGCGUACCAUUAGCUAGUAGGUGGGGUAACGGCCCACCUAGGCAACGAUGGUUAGCGGGUCUGAGAGGAUGAUCCGCCACACUGGAACUGGAACACGGACCAGACUCCUACGGGAGGCAGCAGUGAGGAAUAUUGCGCAAUGGGGGAAACCCUGACGCAGCGACGCCGCGUGAGUGAGGAAGGUCUUCGGAUCGUAAAGCUCUGUCAGAAGGGAAGAAGUGUUAUAUGGUUAAUAUCCAUAUAAUUUGACGGUACCUUCAGAGGAAGCACCGGCUAACUCCGUGCCAGCAGCCGCGGUAAUACGGAGGGUGCAAGCGUUGUUCGGAAUUACUGAGCGUAAAGGGCGCGUAGGCGGCCUGAUAAGUCAGAUGUGAAAGCCCACGGCUUAACCGUGGAAGUGCAUUUGAAACUGUCUGGCUUGAGUAUCGGAAGGGGAGUGUGGAAUUUCCCGG
rnacentral:rRNA from 1 species